rnacentral:rRNA from 1 species
CCUACGGGAGGCAGCAGUGGGGAAUAUUGGGCAAUGGGCGCAAGCCUGACCCAGCAACGCCGCGUGAAGGAAGAAGGCCCUCGGGUUGUAAACUUCUUUUGUCAGGGACGAAGAAAGUGACGGUACCUGACGAAUAAGCCACGGCUAACUACGUGCCAGCAGCCGCGGUAAUACGUAGGUGGCAAGCGUUAUCCGGAUUUACUGGGUGUAAAGUGCGUGUAGGCGGGACUGCAAGUCAGAUGUGAAAUUCCAGGGCUCAACCCUGGAACUGCAUUUGAAACUGUAGUUCUUGAGUGAUGGAGAGGCAGGCGGAAUUCCGUGUGUAGCGGUGAAAUGCUUAGAUAUUGCGAAGAACUCCGAUUGCGAAGGCAGCAUACCGGCGGCGAUCUGACGCUGAGGCACGAAAGCGUGGGUAUCGAACAGGAUUAGAUACCCCUGUAGUC